rnacentral:rRNA from 1 species
GAUGAACGCUGGCGGCGUGCCUAAUACAUGCAAGUCGAGCGAACGGACGAGAAGCUUGCUUCUCUGAUGUUAGCGGCGGACGGGUGAGUAACACGUGGAUAACCUACCUAUAAGACUGGGAUAACUUCGGGAAACCGGAGCUAAUACCGGAUGAUAUUUUGAACCGCAUGGUUCAAAAGUGAAAGACGGUCUUGCUGUCACUUAUAGAUGGAUCCGCGCUGCAUUAGCUAGUUGGUAAGGUAACGGCUUACCAAGGCAACGAUGCAUAGCCGACCUGAGAGGGUGGACCGCCACACCUGAACCGGAGCACGGGCCAAGACCCCUACGGGAGGAAGAAGUGGGAAAUCUUCCGAAAUGGGCGAAGGCCUGCCGGAGAAACGCCGCGUGAGUGAUGAAGGCCUCCGGUUCGUAAACCCUUGUUAUAGGGAAGAACAUAUGUGUAAGUAACUGUGCACAUCUUGACGGUACCUAAUCAGAAAGCCACGGCUAACUACGUG